rnacentral:rRNA from 3 species
AAUCCAUAGGUUAAUGAGGCGAACCGGGGGAACUGAAACAUCUAAGUACCCCGAGGAAAAGAAAUCAACCGAGAUUCCCCCAGUAGCGGCGAGCGAACGGGGAGGAGCCCAGAGCCUGAAUCAGCAUGUGUGUUAGUGGAAGCGUCUGGAAAGGCGCGCGAUACAGGGUGACAGCCCCGUACACAAAAGCGCAUGUGCUGUGAGCUCGAUGAGUAGGGCGGGACACGUGGUAUCCUGUCUGAAUAUGGGGGGACCAUCCUCCAAGGCUAAAUACUCCUGACUGACCGAUAGUGAACCAGUACCGUGAGGGAAAGGCGAAAAGAACCCCGGCGAGGGGAGUGAAAAAGAACCUGAAACCGUGUACGUACAAGCAGUGGGAGCACCCUUUGGGUGUGACUGCGUACCUUUUGUAUAAUGGGUCAGCGACUUAUAUUCUGUAGCAAGGUUAACCGAAUAGGGGAGCCGGAGGGAAACCGAGUCUUAACCGGGCGUUAAGUUGCAGGGUAUAGACCCGAAACCCGGUGAUCUAGCCAUGGGCAGGUUGAAGGUUGGGUAACACUAACUGGAGGACCGAACCGACUAAUGUUGAAAAAUUAGCGGAUGACCUGUGGCUGGGGGUGAAAGGCCAAUCAAACCGGGAGAUAGCUGGUUCUCCCCGAAAGCUAUUUAGGUAGCGCCUCGUGAAUUCAUCUCCGGGGGUAGAGCACUGUUUCGGCUAGGGGGCCAUCCCGGCUUACCAACCCGAUGCAAACUGCGAAUACCGGAGAAUGUUAUCACGGGAGACACACGGCGGGUGCUAACGUCCGUCGUGAAGAGGGAAACAACCCAGACCGCCAGCUAAGGUCCCAAAGUCAUGGUUAAGUGGGAAACGAUGUGGGAAGGCCCAGACAGCCAGGAUGUUGGCUUAGAAGCAGCCAUCAUUUAAAGAAAGCGUAAUAGCUCACUGGUCGAGUCGGCCUGCGCGGAAGAUGUAACGGGGCUAAACCAUGCACCGAAGCUGCGGCAGCGACACUGUGUGUUGUUGGGUAGGGGAGCGUUCUGUAAGCCUGCGAAGGUGGCCUGUGAGGGUUGCUGGAGGUAUCAGAAGUGCGAAUGCUGACAUAAGUAACGAUAAAGCGGGUGAAAAGCCCGCUCGCCGGAAGACCAAGGGUUCCUGUCCAACGUUAAUCGGGGCAGGGUGAGUCGACCCCUAAGGCGAGGCCGAAAGGCGUAGUCGAUGGGAAACGGGUUAAUAUUCCCGUACUUGGUGUUACUGCGAAGGGGGGACGGAGAAGGCUAUGUUGGCCGGGCGACGGUUGUCCCGGUUUAAGCGUGUAGGUGUGUGUUCCAGGUAAAUCCGGUUCACUUUAACACUGAGGCGUGACGACGAGGCACUACGGUGCUGAAGCAACAAAUGCCCUGCUUCCAGGAAAAGCCUCUAAGCAUCAGGUAACAUCAAAUCGUACCCCAAACCGACACAGGUGGUCAGGUAGAGAAUACCAAGGCGCUUGAGAGAACUCGGGUGAAGGAACUAGGCAAAAUGGUGCCGUAACUUCGGGAGAAGGCACGCUGACACGUAGGUGAAGUGAUUUACUCAUGGAGCUGAAGUCAGUCGAAGAUACCAGCUGGCUGCAACUGUUUAUUAAAAACACAGCACUGUGCAAACACGAAAGUGGACGUAUACGGUGUGACGCCUGCCCGGUGCCGGAAGGUUAAUUGAUGGGGUCAGCGCAAGCGAAGCUCCUGAUCGAAGCCCCGGUAAACGGCGGCCGUAACUAUAACGGUCCUAAGGUAGCGAAAUUCCUUGUCGGGUAAGUUCCGACCUGCACGAAUGGCGUAAUGAUGGCCAGGCUGUCUCCACCCGAGACUCAGUGAAAUUGAACUCGCUGUGAAGAUGCAGUGUACCCGCGGCAAGACGGAAAGACCCCGUGAACCUUUACUAUAGCUUGACACUGAACAUUGAGCCUUGAUGUGUAGGAUAGGUGGGAGGCUUUGAAGUGUGGACGCCAGUCUGCAUGGAGCCGACCUUGAAAUACCACCCUUUAAUGUUUGAUGUUCUAACGUGGACCCGUUACCCGGGUUGCGGACAGUGUCUGGUGGGUAGUUUGACUGGGGCGGUCUCCUCCUAAAGAGUAACGGAGGAGCACGAAGGUUGGCUAAUCCUGGUCGGACAUCAGGAGGUUAGUGCAAUGGCAUAAGCCAGCUUGACUGCGAGCGUGACGGCGCGAGCAGGUGCGAAAGCAGGUCAUAGUGAUCCGGUGGUUCUGAAUGGAAGGGCCAUCGCUCAACGGAUAAAAGGUACUCCGGGGAUAACAGGCUGAUACCGCCCAAGAGUUCAUAUCGACGGCGGUGUUUGGCACCUCGAUGUCGGCUCAUCACAUCCUGGGGCUGAAGUAGGUCCCAAGGGUAUGGCUGUUCGCCAUUUAAAGUGGUACGCGAGCUGGGUUUAGAACGUCGUGAGACAGUUCGGUCCCUAUCUGCCGUGGGCGCUGGAGAACUGAGGGGGGCUGCUCCUAGUACGAGAGGACCGGAGUGGACGCAUCACUGGUGUUCGGGUUGUCAUGCCAAUGGCACUGCCCGGUAGCUAAAUGCGGAAGAGAUAAGUGCUGAAAGCAUCUAAGCACGAAACUUGCCCCGAG